ACCACGGGGCGCAGCAGUGGGGAAUAUUGCACAAUGGGGGAAACCCUGAUGCAGCGACGCCGCGUGAGUGAAGAAGUAUCUCGGUACGUAAAGCUCUAUCAGCAGGGAAGAAAAUGACGGUACCUGACUAAGAAGCCCCGGCUAACUACGUGCCAGCAGCCGCGGUAAUACGUAGGGGGCAAGCGUUAUCCGGAUUUACUGGGGGUAAAGGGCGUGCAGCCGGAGAGACAAGUCAGAUGUGAAAUCCACGGGCUCAACCCGUGAACGGCAUUUGAAACUGUUUCCCUUGAGUGUCGGAGAGGAAA
rnacentral:rRNA from 1 species